AGCAGUCGCCACGGUAAUACGAAGGGUGCAAGCGUUAAUCGGAAUUACUGGGCGUAAAGCGCGCGUAGGUGGUUUGGUAAGAUGGAUGUGAAAUCCCCGGGCUCAACCUGGGAACUGCAUCCAUAACUGCCUGACUAGAGUACGGUAGAGGGUGGUGGAAUUUCCUGUGUAGCGGUGAAAUGCGUAGAUAUAGGAAGGAACACCAGUGGCGAAGGCGACCACCUGGACUGAUACUGACACUGAGGUGCGAAAGCGUGGGGAGCAAACAGGAUUAGAUACCCGCGUAGUCCCUGUCUCUUAUAC
rnacentral:rRNA from 1 species